ACUCCUACGGGAGGCAGCAGUGGGAAUAUUGCACAAUGGGGAAAGCCCUCGAUGCAGCCAUGCCGCGUGUGUGAAGAAGGCCUUCGGGUUGUAAAGCACUUUCAGCGAGGAGGAAAGGGUGUGUGCUAAUACCAUACAUCUGUGACGUUACCCGCAGAAGAAGCACCGGCUAACUCCGUGCCAGCAGCCGCGGUAAUACGGAGGGUGCGAGCGUUAAUCGGAAUUACUGGGCGUAAAGCGUGCGCAGGCGGUUUGUUAAGCGAGAUGUGAAAGCCCGC
rnacentral:rRNA from 1 species